UCUUUAUGUUAAGAUUAAUUAAAUAAAUUAUUUUUAAUAAUAUUUUUAAUAAAUUAAUUAAACAUUUUAUUGGGGCGAUAUAAAAAUUUAUUAAACUUUUUAUUAAACAUAUACUUUAAUUAAAGAUUUAAUUUAUUGAUCUAUUAUUAAUAAUUUAAAGAAAAAGA
rnacentral:rRNA from 1 species